rnacentral:rRNA from 1 species
CCCUUAGAUGUUCUGGGCUACACGCGUGUUACACUGGUACAUUCAACAAGUUUAAUCUUUCCUUACCCGAUGGGGUUGGGUAAUCUUUUAAAUAUGUAUCGUGAUGGGGAUAGAGCAUUGUAAUUAUUGCUCUUGAACGAGGAAUUCCUAGUAAGUGCAAGUCACUAACUUGCGCUGAUUACGUCCCUGCCCUUUGUACACACCGCCCGUCGCUCCUACCGAUGAAUGGUCCGGUGAGGAUUCAGGAUGACCGCAGAUCUUGGCAUAGCCACUCUGUUGAUUGUCAGAAUUUGUUCAAACCUUAUCAUUUAAAGGAAGGAGAAGUCGUAACA